CGUGUUCUCUUCCGAUUUGAGAAGCACUGCUCUAGACAACAAUCAUGAAGUGGGGGAGGCUGUUUAAAGAGUAAGAUUCACUGAGGUCAUCGGUUUGGUUGGGAAGAGGAUGGAGACAGUAAACAAUUUUAGAAUUUCUUAGAAAAAUCUGUUGCAGAAUAUGUAUGUUAAAAAUCUAAAGAUGCCUAGUAGACACUAGAAAUAAUAAAGGUUUUUAAUUAGCAGAGAAAGAAAAUGAGAAUAUACAGAGUAGAAAACUUUGUCAACUUGGUAGGAAUCAGACAAGGAAAGCACAAAAGAAAACAAAUGGUGAACAGAAACAUAUGGUGCAGCUGUAAAAGUCAGUCCAUAUAUACUUGUAAUCACAGUCAUUGCACGUGGAUAGCAUAUCUGGGAUUGAAAUAUUUCAUAAAGGAUUACAAAAUGCUGAAGCAACAAGGCUUUGAGAACAGGAUUGUAUUUUAAGAAUUUGUGUUCUAUACGGAAGAGGAAAGGUUAUACUUGUGAAGCAAAAAGGAAGCAUGUUUUAGACAGUGAAUCAAAUUUUGGUUGACCAGUUCUUUAGCAUUCUUGUUUUUCUACAUUAGCUGUAACCAGAAACACAUUUAUUAUUCCUUCUGAUGAUUAUGUUGCUGUUAAUCCUUCUUCUGUCCACUUUAAAGUGUCUUCAGCCACUGUGGGUCUAAAAGCUGAACUUCAGUUUGCUCAGAACUUUUGCCUCUUUGUUUAUCUGCUUCUCAAAAAGGCUUUACUCAUUUCUGUUGUUUUUAGGAACCUGGUAAAUCUCUCAACUAUUUACUACAUUGGACUAGUAGUUCAGUCUCACUGCCAGGAGUAUAUUUGGAAACUAUUUACUACACUUGAAAAUCUUUGACUAAAAUAUACACCGUG